rnacentral:lncRNA from 1 species
CUCCAGGUUCUUGAUAGGUCGGAGCAGAUUAAGGCUUCGUUUGGAAUUGCGGGGAGAUUACAUUACGUGCGGUGAGAAACGACGAUGGAAAAAUACCAUAUUUGUUUCCGUACGUAAUAUUGCGUUCCGCAUAUUGUUAUAAGUCGGUUACGAUAUAUUUUCUGCGGUUCCACCGGAGAACGCAGAAGCAUAUCCCUAUAUAUUUUUUUCUCAACUCCAUUUUAUCUAAUAGCGUUAGAUAGAACUUAAUACCAAACUAAGCUUAAGACAUGUUGAUAUUUAUCAUUUUUUUUCGCCUUCACUUACUAUUCGAC